ACGUAGGGAGCAAGCGUUGUUCGGAUUUACUGGGCGUAAAGGGCGCGUAGGCGGCAAAUCAAGUCAGCUGUGAAAUCUCUGAGCUUAACUCAGAACGGUCAGCCGAUACUGCGGGGCUAGAGUGCAGAAGGGGCAACUGGAAUUCUCGGUGUAGCGGUGAAAUGCGUAGAUAUCAAGAGGAACACCUGCGGCGAAGGCGGGUUGCUGGGCUGACACUGACGCUGAUGCGCGAAAGCUAAGGGAGCGAACGGGA
rnacentral:rRNA from 1 species